UACGUAGGGUGCGAGCGUUGUCCGGAAUUAUUGGGCGUAAAGAGCUCGUAGGCGGCUUGUCGCGUCGGAUGUGAAAGCCCGGGGCUUAACUCCGGGUCUGCGUUCGAUACGGGCAGGCUAGAGUUCGGUAGGGGAGAUCGGAAUUCCUGGUGUAGCGGUGAAAUGCGCAGAUAUCAGGAGGAACACCGGUGGCGAAGGCGGAUCUCUGGGCCGAUACUGACGCUGAGGAGCGAAAGCGUGGGGAGCGAACAGG
rnacentral:rRNA from 1 species